CUUUUUUGGCUUCGGCACGUACUAUCGCCAGUGAGGUCUUUACCGAGGCAUAGUCUUUUGCUGAUUGCAAAUUACACAUCCGAACCCGUCUGUUAGCUUCGGCUUUCAGCAAUUUUUGGACAACCCCCUC
rnacentral:snRNA from 1 species